GACGGAGGAUGCAAGCGUUAUCCGGAAUCACUGGGCGUAAAGCGUCUGUAGGUGGUUUAAAAAGUCUACUGUUAAAAAUUGAAGCUUAACUUCAAAGAUGCCGUAGAAACUUUUAAACUUGAGGAUGGUAGGGGUAGAGGGAAUUUCCAGUGGAGCGGUGAAAUGCGUAGAUCUUGGAAAGACCACCAAUGGCGAAGGCACUCUACUGGGCCAUGACUGACACUAAGAGACGAAAGCUAGGGGAGCAAAUGGG
rnacentral:rRNA from 1 species